UGUGCGUUAAGUCGCAGACGUUAAGACGUUUCUGAGUUGAAACCUCGAUUGCUUCCAAUUAUUGCUGCUUUGUGACAAGACAUUCCUUCUCACAGGAGCGUCCUCCAUUGCCUCGUACAAAGAAGUAAGUGUGUCUCACCUGACGACUGCGACGUGAACUUUGAACAGGAACGUCAGGAGACAUUAUGAAGACAGGAAGAAUGAAUGAAAGCACAUUAUCUGGGAGGAUGCUACACGUGUUGGGGUUGCUGGCUGUCAUGGCGGUGCUAUGUGGUACAGCACACUCAGAAACCUUUAUUCAACAGACGCCUAAUGCACACAACUCCGUGAAACACACGGUGGCGGGCGGGAGAACAGCAGUUAAACAGAAACGUGGUACUCAUGCAUUUGAA